AUACGGAAGGCAGCAGUGGGGAAUUUUGCGCAAUGGGGGAAACCCUGACGCAGCAACGCCGCGUGAGUGAUGAAGGCUCUUGGGUCGUAAAGCUCUGACAGAGGGAAAGAAAUGCAUGGUGGCUAAUAUCCAUUGUGCUUGACGGUACCCUCAAAGGAAGCACCGGCUAACUCCGUGCCAGCAGCCGCGGUAAUACGGAGGGUGCGAGCGUUGUUCGGAUUUAUUGGGCGUAAAGCGCGUGUAGGCGGUUUAUUAAGUCUGAUGUGAAAGCCCCGGGCUCAACCUGGGAAGUGCAUUGGAUACUGGUAGACUUGAAUACGGGAGAGGGCAGUGGAAUUCCUGGUGUAGGAGUGAAAUCCGUAGAUAUCAGGAGGAACACCGGUGGCGAAGGCGGCUGCCUGGACCGAUAUUGACGCUGAGACGCGAAAGCGUGGGUAGCAAACAGGAUUAGAUACCCGCGUAGUCCC
rnacentral:rRNA from 1 species